rnacentral:rRNA from 1 species
AUGGCCCUGCCGGCUAUCCCCGACGAGCUCCUGGCGGAAAUCCUCCUCCGCCUUCCCACCCCAGAGGACCUCAUCCGCGCCUCCGACGCCUGCGUCUCCAUCCGCCGCCUCGUCGUCAACCGCGCCUUCCUCCGGCGCUUCCGCAAGCUCCACCCUCCGCCCCUCCUCGGCUUCGUCAACUACAAAGGCUUCCGCCCCGCCUUACCGCCUCAACCCUCCGCGCCGGCGGCCAGCGCCGUUGCCCGUGCCGCCGACUUCGACUUCGCCUUCCUCCCCGCACCUGCCUUGGACUGGUCCAUGCGGGAAGUCCGCGACGGCCGCGUCCUCCUCGACAGAUCCUCCCGGCACGCCGGUGACGGGCUUGGAUCCGUCUUCAAGGAGAUGGUGGUGUGCGACCCCCUGCACCGGCAGUAUCUCCUGCUCCCCCCGCUCCCCGGUGACCUAGCCAUUUCGAUUGUUGUCGCACUCGCGAUUGAAGGGCCGUGCUUCGGCGAAUCCUUCCUCGCCCCUCCCGGCGACGACGAGGAGGCAGCUGCUACUACUGAGGGGACGUCAUUCAGAGUGAUCUGGAUGACGCUGCUCCAAACUAAGCCAAUGGCCGCUGUCUUCUCCUCCGGCACAGGGCAAUGGCAAACCCUGAGUCGGAGCGAGCCGUUACCUGGCUUUUUGUUAUCGACGUGGAAGUUUUGGUUCGUGUCGCUCCAUUACGCACAUGGUUGCUUCUACUGGGUUUCAGGCGCACGCCAUGCUGACGCCCAGGGAGCGGGGGAUGAUGUGCUGGCGCCUGAACUACAGGAAGCUGACACUGGAGGCGUCCAAGGACCUGUUGUCGCAGCAGCAGCCCAAGAUCUGAACCGCUUGUUCGUCGUCGAAGGGACACACCAUGCUGAUAUCCAGGGAGCAGGGGAGCCUGAAGUACGAGAAGCUGACCCUGGAGGCGUGCAAGGACCUGUUGUCGCAGCAGCCACCCAAGCUUUGAUCCCCUUGUUCGUCGUUGAAGGCACACACCAUGCUGACGCCCAGGGAGCGGAGGAUGAUGUGCUGGCGCUUGAACUACGAGAAGCUGACCCUGGAGGCAUGGAAGGACCUGUUGUGGCAGCGUCCACCCAAGGUCCUGACCCCUUGUUCGUUAUCGAAGGGAGGGCCGGCGGCCAAGGAGUUCCUCACGGUGGAGGCCGCGACAAGGAGUACAUGGUGGAACUCCGCCCCCAGUACCUGGAGUUGGUGGACGCAGAGCGGCAGCGGUUGGCCGACGAGGCGGUGGACGGGGCAGUUGUUAACAUCUCCGACGACGAGGAGGAGAUCGACGUCCAAGAAUGGCACCACAUCUUCCCCAACAUUAUUGACGACGGCAGAGGGCUGGACCGCAAGAUCGGUGGUAUGAGGCAGGCACAAUGA